AUGACUAGGGACAACCUGAGGAAAAGACAUAUAAUCAAACCACUUGAUUGUGUUUUCUAUGCUUAACAUGAAACAAACCACCAUUUUUUUGACUAUGUGGUAGCCAGGAAUAUUUGGUUGUUUGUCAAUCUCUUUUUCCAAAAGAACUUGGGUACAAACUUUGAGUCUGUGGCCCAAUUUUGGAUCUCUAAUAAAAACAAUUUAGCUUUAAACAUAGUUAGUUCUGCUGUCCUUUGGUGUUUAUGGAAAUAUAGGAACUCUAUAAUUUUUAAUAACACCAUUUGGACGUCUAUUAGUCAGGUGUGGAGACUGAUACACAUGAUGCUAAAGUUCUGGGUGACUCUGAUCCCAGAAGCAAGCAAAUGUCGAGUGGAAGAAUUCUUGAGAGCACUGGCGAAGCUACUCCAGCAACUCUUGAUGAUCUCGAGUGGCUGA
rnacentral:rRNA from 1 species